AGUGAACGCUGGCGGUAGGCCUAACACAUGCAAGUCGAACGGCAGCACAGUAAGAGCUUGCUCUUACGGGUGGCGAGUGGCGGACGGGUGAGGAAUACAUCGGAAUCUACUUUUUCGUGGGAGAUAACGUAGGGAAACUUACUCUAAUACCGCAUACGACCUACGGUUGAAAGCAGGGGAUCUUCGGACCUUGCGCGAUUGAAUGAGCCGAUGUCGGCUUAGCUAGUUGGCGGGGUAAAGGCCCACCAAGGCGACGAUCCGUAGCUGGUCUGAGAGGAUGAUCAGCCACACUGGAACUGAGACACGGUCCAGACUCCUAAGGGAGGCAGCAGUGGGGAAUAUUGGACAAUGGGCGCAAGCCUGAUACAGCCAUACCGCGUGGGUGAAGAAGGCCUUCGGGUUGUAAAGCCCUUUUGUUGGGAAAGAAAAGCAGCAGGUUAAUACCCCGCUGUUCUGACGGUACCCAAAGAAUAAGCACCGGCUAACUUCGUG
rnacentral:rRNA from 1 species